rnacentral:rRNA from 1 species
UACGGAGGGUGCAAGCGUUAUUCGGAAUUACUGGGCGUAAAGCGCACGUAGGCCGCUUUGUAAGUCAGGGGUGAAAUCCCACGGCUCAACCGUGGAACUGCCCUUGAAACUGCAGAGCUUGAAUCCUGGAGAGGGUGGCGGAAUUCCUGGUGUAGGAGUGAAAUCCGUAGAUAUCAGGAGGAACACCGGUGGCGAAGGCGGCCACCUGGACAGGCAUUGACGCUGAGGUGCGAAAGUGUGGGGAGCAAACAGGAUUAGAAACCCUAGUAGUCC